UACGGGGGGGGCAAGCGUUGUUCGGAAUUACUGGGCGUAAAGGGCUCGUAGGCGGCCAACUAAGUCAGACGUGAAAUCCCUCAGCUUAACUGGGGAACUGCGUCUGAUACUGGAUGGCUUGAGUUUGGGAGAGGGAUGCGGAAUUCCAGGUGUAGCGGUGAAAUGCGUAGAUAUCUGGAGGAACACCGGUGGCGAAGGCGGCAUCCUGGACCAACACUGACGCUGAGGAGCGAAAGCCAGGGGAGCAAACAGG
rnacentral:rRNA from 1 species